rnacentral:tRNA from 1 species
AUAAUUUUAAGUUAAUAAAACUAUUAACCUUCAAAGUUAAAAUUAUAAAUAAUAUAAUUUUAUAAAUUAUA